GACGAACGCUGGCGGCGUGCUUAACACAUGCAAGUCGAACGAAGUGGCGAACGGGUGAGUAACGCGUAAUCAACCUGCCCUUCAGCGGGGGACAACCGUUGGAAACGACUGCUAAUAACGCACACCGAAGGAGUGGAUUACGUCUGAUUAGCUAGUUGGAGGGGUAACGGGCCACCAAGGCGAUGAUCAGUAGCCUGUCUGAGAGGAUGAACGGCCACAUUGGGAAUGAGACACGGCCCAGACUCCUACGGGAGGCAGCAGUGGGGAAUCUUCCGCCAUGGACGAAAGUCUGACGGAGACACGCCGCGGGAGUGAUGACGGCCUUCGGGUUGUAAAGCUCUGUUAAUCGGGACGCGGUACCGGAAUAGAAAGCCACGGCUAACUACGUGCCAGCAGCCGCGGUAAUAC
rnacentral:rRNA from 1 species